CUGUUAAGGUUUUAAAAAUACCUCUUAAAAACAUUAUAUAGUUAACGCCACUGAAUGUUUCCAGCUUUCAUCAUUACAAGUAGUGCUGUAAUAAGCGUUCUCAUUCACAAAUCUUUUUAGGCAUUUCUAGAUUCAACAUGUUUAAGGCUCUUGAGAUGUGUUUCCAAACUGCCCUCCAAAAAAGUUGAAAGAAUUUUUAGUCUCACUGGGAGGUAAGACUGCUUCGUUGUUCCCCCGAGUGAGACGAGGUGUGAUUUGAUUUUGAACUCUGACAAUGCAGCAAGGAAAAAAAAAAUGUAAAGAGAGACAUCUAGUUUUAGUUGGCUUUUGAUUCUGGUAAUGGUGGACAUUUUUCCUAGAUACCUGUUGGUCAUUAGGAUUUCUUUCCUGCAUUGCCUCGCCACGGUCACCCGUGACAUUAAUCUCUUUCCCUUGUUGAGUGUGUGCUUGAAACAUCUUGCCAAAUCGUCUGCUGAAGAAAUUGACAUUUCUCCUGGAGAGGAAGGGUGCCAACUUCCUCAGGCCCCUGCCAACGCUGAGCUCUAUCAAAGUUUUCUUCAUCUUUGCGGAGUUGGCAGUCGGACCUUCAGUUUGCGUUCCUGUACUUGAGUGAGGCUGAACCUGCUUUCAUCUGUAGAAGCCGUUCACGGGUCAUUCUCUGGGAGCUCGUGUCCUUUGUUCUAACUAGACUGUCAUAGAUCUGACACCAGAGCUCUGAACCCCCGCCACUAGGGGCCCAUUUCAGGCGCUCUCCGUGUCUCCGAAGAGCCUUAUCACUAGGCUUAAGGUGUCGAGGGAUCUCCCGCCGCCCACCCAACACUCACACGUGAUGCACACACAGCGCUGAAGAGGAGAAGGGCUCAGUACAAUUCUGCAAGGAAACCAUCUCUACAAAUUACCUGUUUAAGUAUCUGGGUUCUUUUAUGCCCUUGCGGUGGGUGAGGAUGAAAGAAGGAACAGGUUUUGGAAUGAGGCCAGGCAUGAAGACACCUGGAGCCGGGAGGCCGGCCACCUGCACGAGUUCCCAUCUUGUGAUGCUGCUUCUCAUUGGAUGCUAACGUCCUCCUUUCUGGCUGGGCCCGGUUUACUACACGUAGCCCAGGCUUGGCCUGGUGCCCACCCAGGUAUCCGGAGUAUCUGAACCAAAGACCAGAUUGGCUGUCGUUCUGUUCCAUGAACGCUGUGGUAGUCUGUCUCUACUGAAAGCAGGCCGGCAGGAGUGUUUGUAGAUUCCCCGGCUGAGUCAGUUCCAUGCCACUUGGAAGCCUGGCCCACGAGCACCUCCGUCUGCCUGCACUGCCUUUGAUCAGACUCUGCAAAUCCUGAUGUCGCGCUAGGCUAGAACUGGACAAGAUCUCGUUCUAGAGCAGAGACGGCCAACCCACAGGCAUCCAGUAACUUGCCCGACUCAAAGCUAAUAAGCAGCCGAGAUAGAAUGAGGACUCCCAGUUCCUGGUUUUUCUUUUUCUUUUUGUGCAAAGACCUAUAUGUUGAGCUGGGAAAUUAGCACAGUAUUUAUUGGCUUGUGUGGUCCAGGAAGAAGCCUGGAGCUCAUUGUGGGCAGGAUUAAAGACAUAAGCAAAGUGAACCUUGCCCCCAACUCAAAUGUUGCCUUUAAGAGUAUUGAAAAGGAUAGUUUGGGAGAGGGCAUAGUUUUCUCCAUGAUAUUAACCUAAAAGCCCAGUAGAUCACAUUUAUAAUUAUAUCCAAACCGCUUAUCACAAGGGUAAACCUUUUGGAAUUUUGCUACCAUCGUAUAAGGUGUGGGUGUGUGCGGUUUGGGAUAAUUAACAGUAAGAGGCAGUAACAGGGAAGCAUAGUAGAAGUAGUACUGAGAUCUGGGAUUUUAACCCAAAGACACACGCUAAAGCUGCGCAGAAGAGAAGACAGUCUCGGGCAGGGCGGUGGGAUUCUUCCAACCCUGUCGGUGACAGGAUCCUGUACCGGGGUUCUAAAUCCUAGAUCAUACACCGAGUAUUGGCCCUAGAAGGAGCCUUAGCAGUGAUGGCCCAAGCCUCUACUGUGCAGGCGAUGAGUGUGAGGCCAGAAAGGGAAACUAAGAGCACAUACCGAAGCUUUACUUGGCCAAUCUGAUACAUCCUGAACCAGCGUGGAAGCUACUCUUUCUGACGGAAUCAGCCACCCGGGGACAUUUCCAAAGCCAAACCACCCGCCAGGGCUAACACACAAACAAGACGAGCCCAACACAGGCAGCGAGGGGCCGGGCCCCGGCUUGCACCCAGUGAUGUCAAGCAAUAGCCUCUCGUGCCCAAAUUAAGAAUCCCAAACAGGUGAGGGGUUCUGGCCACUGAGCAGACCUGUCAGCACAUCCUGAGCCUCACGGCCGACAGGUCCAACCCUAUCAUGACCUCCCCGGAGCCAGCCUCACCUGGUCCUUGGUGCUCAGUUCCUGGGCAUCUGAUGUCCAGUGCCACCAAGCUCCAAGCGGAACAGAGCACACGACACCUGCAUUUUAGAAUGACCCGGCAUAUGACCCUCAAAAAAGCAGGGAGGCCACAAAAGGAGCUGCUCUGACCUGGGUUUGCACAGAGAAAACCCUCAGUAUAAAAAGACUGCACUGAGCUGCCCUAACUCACUUCUCAGCAUUCACGUUAAAAAAGGCUUUAGAUUGUAUGUUUUCUACAAGUCACCCAACACGGAGAAAGUCACGGCAGGUCUUUUCAUGGU